GACGAACGCUGGCGGCGUGCUUAACACAUGCAAGUCGAACGGAAAGGCCCUGCUUUUGUGGGGUGCUCGAGUGGCGAACGGGUGAGUAACACGUGAGUAACCUGCCCUUGACUUUGGGAUAACUUUAGGAAAAUGGGGCUAAUACCGGAUAGGAGCUCUUGCUGCAUGGUGGGGGUUGGAAAGUUUCGGCGGUUGGGGAUGGACUCGCGGCUUAUCAGCUUGUUGGUGGGGUAGUGGCUUACCAAGGCUGUGACGGGUAGCCGGCCUGAGAGGGUGACCGGCCACAUUGGGACUGAGAUACGGCCCAGACUCCUACGGGAGGCAGCAGUGGGGAAUAUUGCACAAUGGGCGGAAGCCUGAUGCAGCAACGCCGCGUGCGGGAUGACGGCCUUCGGGUUGUAAACCGCUUUCGCCUGUGACGAAGCGGGAGUGACGGUAAUGGGUAAAGAAGCACCGGCUAACUACGUG
rnacentral:rRNA from 1 species